rnacentral:rRNA from 1 species
GAUGAACGCUAGCGGGAGGCCUAACACAUGCAAGCCGAGCGGUAGAAGAUCUUCGGAUCUUUGAGAGCGGCGUACGGGUGCGGAACACGUGUGCAACCUGCCUUUAUCAGGGGGAUAGCCUUUCGAAAGGAAGAUUAAUACCCCAUAAUAUAAUGAGUGGCAUCACUUAUUAUUGAAAACUCCGGUGGAUAGAGAUGGGCACGCGCAAGAUUAGAUAGUUGGUAGGGUAACGGCCUACCAAGUCAGUGAUCUUUAGGGGGCCUGAGAGGGUGAUCCCCCACACUGGUACUGAGACACGGACCAGACUCCUACGGGAGGCAGCAGUGAGGAAUAUUGGACAAUGGGUGAGAGCCUGAUCCAGCCAUCCCGCGUGAAGGACGACGGCCCUAUGGGUUGUAAACUUCUUUUGUAUAGGGAUAAACCUUUCCACGUGUGGAAAGCUGAAGGUACUAUACGAAUAAGCACCGGCUAACUCCGUGCCAGCAGCCGCGGUAAUACGGAGGGUGCAAGCGUUAUCCGGAUUUAUUGGGUUUAAAGGGUCCGUAGGCGGAUCUGUAAGUCAGUGGUGAAAUCUCAUAGCUUAACUAUGAAACUGCCAUUGAUACUGCAGGUCUUGAGUAAAGUAGAAGUGGCUGGAAUAAGUAGUGUAGCGGUGAAAUGCAUAGAUAUUACUUAGAACACCAAUUGCGAAGGCAGGUCACUAUGUUUUAACUGACGCUGAUGGACGAAAGCGUGGGGAGCGAACAGGAUUAGAUACCCUGGUAGUCCACGCCGUAAACGAUGCUAACUCGUUUUUGGGUUUUCGGAUUCAGAGACUAAGCGAAAGUGAUAAGUUAGCCACCUGGGGAGUACGUUCGCAAGAAUGAAACUCAAAGGAAUUGACGGGGGCCCGCACAAGCGGUGGAUUAUGUGGUUUAAUUCGAUGAUACGCGAGGAACCUUACCAAGGCUUAAAUGGGAAUUGACAGGUUUAGAAAUAGACUUUUCUUCGGACAAUUUUCAAGGUGCUGCAUGGUUGUCGUCAGCUCGUGCCGUGAGGUGUUAGGUUAAGUCCUGCAACGAGCGCAACCCCUGUCACUAGUUGCCAUCAUUCAGUUGGGGACUCUAGUGAGACUGCCUACGCAAGUAGAGAGGAAGGUGGGGAUGACGUCAAAUCAUCACGGUCCUUACGCCUUGGGCCACACACGUAAUACAAUGGCCGGUACAGAGGGCAGCUACCUAGCGAUAGGAUGCGAAUCUCGAAAGCCGGUCUCAGUUCGGAUUGGAGUCUGCAACUCGACUCUAUGAAGCUGGAAUCGCUAGUAAUCGCGCAUCAGCCAUGGCGCGGUGAAUACGUUCCCGGGCCU